UGCUCUUUGUCCAAGGCUGCAGUGAUGCUGGGGAGCAAAUUGGUUUUACAUGUCGGGGUGCAAAGGUGGCCUGACUCCAGGGAAGAGCUGCUGCUUGUGGAAAUGGCAGCACAUUUAUCCCGGGACAAAGAUGUCUGGUGGCCACGUAAAAGGAAACAGAGUUCAGUCUACUGGAUAAGAGUCUUCUUUACCCAGGUGGAAAUGAUGCUAUCAGCUCAAACAUCUGUGGGGUGUGUAUUGGUGAUACUGGUGUUUCUUCUGAAUAUUGGCUCACUCGUCAUUUAUUUUGUCAAUCUUGCUGAGGCAGAAGGAUACAAGAUCUUUCCAAACAGCAUCAUUUAUUUAGAUUCAGGCUUCAAUGCUUUCUUCCUCUUUUACUUCGGUUUACGGUUUGUGGCAGCAGAUGACAAGCUGAGGUUCUGGCUUGAGCUGAAUUCUCUUGUGGAUUUCUUCACGAUCCCUCCAGUUUUUGUUUCCUAUUAUUUAAACAGAAAUUGGCUUGGUUUGCGUUUUUUGAGAGCACUUAGGUUGUUAGAGCUUCCCCGAAUACUACAGUUCCUGAGGGUCACAAAGAACAAUUACUCAAUCAAGCUCUCCAAACUCUUUGCUGUAUUUAUUGGUACCUGGCUCACAGCUGCAGGAUUUAUUCACUUGGUAGAAAACAAUGGAGAUCCUUGGGUCCAGCCUGCAAAUUCACAGUCCAUCAGCUAUUUCAAGUGCAUGUACCUAGUAAUGGUGACAAUGUCCACUGUUGGUUAUGGUGAUGUUGUAGUUCAAACAGCGUUGGGUCGAACCUUCAUUAUUUUCUUCAUAAUUGGUGGCUUGGUCCUGUUUGCAAACAUAAUCCCUGAAGUUGUGGAAAUUGUUGAAAGCCAUAAAAGUUACAAAUCUUCCUAUGAAGUGGUGAGUGGGAAGAAGUAUAUCAUUGUCUGUGGUAAUAUCACUCUGGAGAGCGUUACUACUUUCCUACAAAACUUUUUGCUUCAGGACAUGGGAAAUGUUUGCACAGAAAUCCUUUUUCUGGGAGAGUCUCUUCCUAGUCUUGAGCUGGAAGCUGUGUUCAAAUGCUAUUCAGCCUACACAACUUUCUUUUAUGGCUCUGCACUAAACUCUGGAGAUCUGAAGAGAGUUGGGAUGGAGUCUGCAAAUGCUUGUCUCAUUCUAGCAGAUGUUUGCUCUCCACAGCCCUAUACUGAAGAUACUUGCAAUAUCAUGAGAGUGCUGUCAAUCAAGAAUCACUACCCCAACACCAGAGUCAUUUUACAGAUAAUUCAGUCUCGUAACAAGGUUCACCUGCCGAACAUACCCAACUGGGACUGGAGGAGGGGAGACAAUAUCAUCUGUCUUGCUGAAUUGAAGUUAGGCUUUAUAGCACAAAGCUGCCUAGUUCCUGGUUUGUCUACUCUCCUAACCAGUUUGUUCAUUGGGAAAGAGAACACUGAGACAAAGAGAAAAUAUCUGAAGGACAAGAUGCUUCUGGGAGAUAAAGACUACAAAGUAAUGACUUUUCAGCUCUCCAACGAUUUUGCAGACAUGACUUUUAUAGAGGUUUGUCGGUUGUGCUUUGUAAAACUAAAUCUUGUCCUCUUGGGAAUUGAACUCAAAGUUGGCAGUCGAGGAGAGAGCACUAUCUUGAUCAACCCAUCUGCACGGAUAAAACUUCAUCGGAAUACAAUGGGCUUUUUUAUUGCUCAUUCCCUUGCAGAAGUCAAAAGGGCACAGUUCUAUUGUAAAGCCUGUCACAGUGAUGUACAAGAUCCAGAGCAGAUUAAAAAAUGUCAUUGUAAAAGAAGACUUCACUCCAUAUCUUUUUCAGAGAUACUGAAAUUACGUAGCGAACCACUUGUUUCACACGGAGUGCCUGCAAAGUCAAGGUCCCUUAUCGUCCCUCCACCUCAGAGAUUUGUUGAUGGGGUUUUGGAUGUCCGAGGAAAGGAGAACAGCAGAUUCGUCUUAGACCCAACAGGAAGGUUCCACUGGUGUGAUGCUGUUCCACUGCAGGAGGCUCUUCUGAGUGGCAAGGACCCAGCAGCACUGAACCUGCAGGAUCACAUUUUGGUCUGUGUCUUUGGCGAUGCAAACUCACCACUGAUUGGGCUGCAGGACUUCGUGAUGCCCUUAAGAGCUAGUAACUUCAUCUACCAUGAGCUGAAAGAUAUUGUUUUUCUUGGGUCUUUGGAAUAUCUGCAGAGAGAAUGGAAAUUUAUUCAGAAUUUCCCAAAGCUGUGGUUAUUCUCAGGCAGUGCUCUCUGGUGUGCAGAUCUGUGGGCAGUUAAUGUCCGGGAUUGCUCUGCUUGUGCCAUUCUGUCUUCCAAUACCACUGCUUCCAGCAAUCCUUCCCUGGUGGACACGGAAAGCAUCCUAGCCACUCUGAACAUCCGAUCCAUGCAGGAUAAGCCCAGCUCAGCCUCACUAGAUGCUGUUUUCAGAGGAAGAGCAUUGGGGAAUCAAUCAGAGCCAUGUUAUAAAAGGAUCCCUAUCACUACAGAGCUGAAGUCUUCACCAAAUGCCCAGUUCAUUAAUCAGACUCCCAGCGGCAAUCCUGAAAUUCCAGAGCAAGAUCACCUUUCCACCACUGCUGCCCCUGCAGGAGCUAUCUUCUCAGAUAGCUUCUUGAAUUCUCUUUUGUCUAUGACCUACUACAACCAUCACAUCUUGGCGCUGCUGCAGACUUUGGUGACAAGUGGGACAAGCCCAGCACUGGAGGAAAUGUUGGAAAUGGACAGUAGGCAGAGCAGGAGUCCUGAUGAUGUGGUCCAAAAUGCCUCCCAACUCCGAUGCAAACUGGCACUCCUGCCACUGUCUGAGAGGUUGUUAACGGGUGUCAUGCAGGAGGACUCCUUUGGAGACAUUUACUGCAAAGCUUUAGACUUGUUUGGGAUACUCUGCUUUGGGCUCUACCGGCUGAUGGAAGAGCCCAAUCCGUACAAGAACAGGUUUGAAAGACUGCAGCUUGAGUCCAGAUACCACAUGCCGAGAAGAAAGGAACCCAAACAGCUGACGCAGAGUUCAGACUAAACUAACUGCAAGCUCCCCAGGGACAUCACAAGGUGGAUGCAUCUGCACGAAUGGCACCGGCACUUCUGCACAUCUCCAUCCUUGGCUGGAGGCAGCGCAAAGGACUAGAGGCAGUUCGCUCUGUUCAGUCCCAGGAUGCAGCAGAAGGGGAUGCAGAAAGAGACACGUAAUCCCGUCUGUGAUCCAAACCAGUUUUUCCAGUGAGAGACAAAUGAACGAGCUCGUAUUGCUCUGAAUAGCAACAAGGUGACUGGUUGCCAGCCUGUAAAAUCUGGUAUCGUCCCUGCUGGAGCCAAAGCUUGACCUUAAGAAAAUUCCUGCCAGUUUCUCCGAGGGAGCAUGUCCCUGUGCUGCUGCAGAAGCCUGUCUGCCACAGGGUGCGUCUCCCUCAGCUCUUGGUGUCCUUGGCACAGCUACAGCCACUGCCACAGGCUGCUGCUGGGUGAGCCACACCGGGAGCCUGGAACCCUCCCGAAAUGUGCCCUUCCAGCAGCCUCUCUGUGUUGACACCGAGCGGGCUCCUCCUCAGCAGAUGUUCAGGACUCGGCGCUCAGGCUUACACAGAAGAACCUCCAAACCAAACCAUCUGGAAAGGAAAACAGCAAAGUAUUCGUGAGCGAUUUCCCUCCGCCGCCGCACCCCCCGCCUGGUGUCACAAGGAAGGAUUUGAGGGGGCAGAAGCAGAGUCCAGGGAUGGGAUCAGGAGGAACAUGUCAGGGAAGAGAUGGUCCCGGCACGGCUGCAGCUGCUGCUGUGAAACACAGCGGCGAGGCGAGGCAUGGCGCGGCGUGAUGCGCACCCGGAGCCAGCCAGGCAUUGGCAUCUGUUCAGGAGCCAGGAGGGCCCAUGGGGCUGGAGCUCAUUCCUCUUUGCUUUUUGUGCCUGCUUCCUCCCACCUUACCGAGGAGCCUUCCCACUCAGUGUCUCCGCUGGCACGGGGACGAGCGGCCUGGCUGCUCUCCGUGCGAGUGCCAACCUCUCACUCAGCACAGGAGCAGUAAAUUGCAGCAGGAGAGGGCCGGCCCUGCUCCUCAGACCUUUUCCAGCAUCCACAAGAUCAACAGCAUUUACGCUGCCCCUUGGCAGGUUUUAAAUCCAUGGUACUUUAUGCCAGUGCCUGAACCUCCCCGCUACCCAUCACCGAGGGGCUCAGCGCUCCGCCGGUGAGCGCACGCGUCCCCGUUAGUGCUUUGAGCCCCACCGCCCUGCGUGCUCACCACUCCCAUGUCAUUUGCUCAGCACAGCCAAGGCUGGGGACCUCACCUGCACGCUAGGUAGCCCCGGGUGCUGGGAGCAAUCCUGCCUCACCUGCGGCACGCUGACAUGGAGCUCCUUGGUUUGGGGCCCCUGGGGCUGGGGAGGGCUCCUCGGCUGGCUCUUCCCCUGCCUCUCUCCCCAUUUCCCACCGUGACUUCUGAACUCUGGCUUUGGGAAAAGCUGGGGCUGACCAGGGAGCUUUGGGCACUUUCCGGAUAAAGGAUUAUUGCAAUUACUCUUAAUAGCAAUAACAGCACAUUAGCUUUUGUACGACUGUUACAGCUGGUGGGCACAUGGGAGCCCAUUACCGAGCAGGCUGUGGUCCCAGCGUUACGCCGCUGUUAGAUUUUCUGCUUGAGGAAGGAAGAUGUUGGGCAAACACUGAGGCGGGUGAUGUGCGUUGCUCAGGGAAGGCAGAGCCUCUGCCUGCAAUGGGCACGUUGGUGCCAGAGCUGUGGUGGGAAAUACACAUGUGAAUCGUGGUGUGGCACAUGUAUGUGGGUGUGGGUGUCCUUGGUGGGUGCUGGGAUGCACCUGCAGGGGCGUGCAGCCCUUUCCUGUAUCUUUUCUGGGAUCUCUCCAGCCCUCUGGGGUCUCCCCUUCCCUGUGUUCCUGGAGAGCUCUCUGCACAGCCCAGGAAAUUGGGUAAUGAAAGCCGAGUCAUACAUUCCUGCUUUAUGUUUCCAAAGAAGCAAGUGUGACUGUCAGGUUUACAAAAGAUUGUUUAUGUUCAGUGGCGUGAAAUGGGGAGCGAGUGUGCGGAGCAGAGCGAGAGAAAGACUGCCCUGCCCGCGCUGACAGCGCCGCAUUCAUCCUCCACGCUACAGCAGACAAAGCGCUGGUGCUGCCUGACAGGGGCCAUAAAUCACCGCUGGGAGAUGCUGUACCUACAGCUUAUACCAUUCCAGAUGACAAACACACAAUAAUCCACACAGCACAGCACUUUUUCUCCCCUCUCUCCCUCGGACUCGCUGGUGCUCGAGUGACGACAGGAGGCACGGAGAAACCUGCAAAGCCCGGAGGGCCGCGGGGCCGCGGGGAGGAGCAGGAGAGGUCGCGGGUGCAAGGAGCACAAAGCCGGGGCUCACCUGAGCCAAAAGCUGCUGUUGGGGCCAGGACGAGGGGGGCACCAGUUCACAAAGGGCACAGGGGGGACGCGAUCGCAGUGCCCGGGGCUCUGCAGCCCCCCCAGGGCAGCUCAGGCAAGGCACGCGGGGCCCUGCUUUGUGCCACCUGCUGAAAUCUCGCUGCUCCAUGUGCUGCUGACGCAGCGCCCACGUGCAC